rnacentral:rRNA from 1 species
GAUGAACGCUGGCGGCGUGCCUAAUACAUGCAAGUCGAGCGAACGGACGAGAAGCUUGCUUCUCUGAUGUUAGCGGCGGACGGGUGAGUAACACGUGGAUAACCUACCCAUAAGACUGGGAUAACUUCGGGAAACCGGAGCUAAUACCGGAUAAUAUUUUGAACCGCAUGGUUCAAAAGUGAAAGACGGUCUUGCUGUCACUUAUAGAUGGAUCCGCGCUGCAUUAGCUAGUUGGUAAGGUAACGGCUUACCAAGGCAACGAUGCAUAGCCGACCUGAGAGGGUGAUCGGCCACACUGGAACUGAGACACGGUCCAGACUCCUACGGGAGGCAGCAGUAGGGAAUCUUCCGCAAUGGGCGAAAGCCUGACGGAGCAACGCCGCGUGAGUGAUGAAGGUCUUCGGAUCGUAAAACUCUGUUAUUGGGGAAGAACAUAUGUGUAAGUAACUGUGCACAUCUUGACGGUACCUAAUCAGAAAGCCACGGCUAACUACGUG